AUACAUGCAAGUCGAACGAUGAGGUUGCUUUCGGGUAACCAUCAGUGGCGGACGGCUGAGUAACGCGUAGAUAACGUGCCUUUUACUGGGGGAUAACAUCGGGAAACCGGUGCUAAUACCGCAUAAGUGGCUGGCUGAAAUGCUGGUCAUUAAAGAUUUAUCGGUAAGAGAUCGGUCUGCGUCUGAUUAGCUAGUUGGUAGGGUAAAGGCCUACCAAGGCGAUGAUCAGUAGUUGGUCUGAGAGGAUGACCAGCCAGAGUGGGACUGAGACACGGCCCACACUUCUACGGAAGGCAGCAGUAGGGAAUUUUGCGCAAUGGGCGAAAGCCUGACGCAGCAACACCGCGUGUAGGAUGAAGGAUUUCGGUUCGUAAACUACUGUCAGCAGGGAAUAUAAUGACUGUACCUGCAGAGGAAGCAUCGGCUAACUACGUGCCAGCAGCCGCGGUAAGACGUAGGAUGCAAGCGUUGUCCGGAAUUAUUGGGCGUAAAGAGUUCGUAGGCGGUUGCCUAAGUCUGAUGUUAAAGCCUGGCGCUCAACGCCAGCAUGGCAUUGGAAACUGGGCGACUAGAGUGUGGUAGAGGUCACGGGAAUUCCUGGUGUAGCGGUGAAAUGCGUAGAUAUCAGGAGGAACACCGGCGGCGAAAGCGCGUGACUGGGCCAUAACUGACGCUGAGGAACGAAAGCCAGGGUAGCAAAAGGGAUUAGAUACCCCUGUAGUCCUGGCCGUAAACGAUGGAUACUAGGUGUAGGUGGAUUCGACCCCAUCUGUGCCGUAGCUAACGCGAUAAGUAUCCCGCCUGGGGAGUACGCUCGCAAGAGUGAAACUCAGAGGAAUUGACGGGGGCCCGCACAAGCGGUGGAACAUGUGGUUUAAUUCGAUGCAACGCGAAGAACCUUACCUGGGCUUGACAUCUACGGAACCUGCGUGAAAGCGUGGGGUGCCUUCGGGAGCCGUAAGACAGGUGGUGCACGGUUGUCGUCAGCUCGUGUCGUGAGAUGUUGGGUUAAGUCCCGCAACGAGCGCAACCCUCGUGGUCUGUUGUUACAGGUCGUAA
rnacentral:rRNA from 1 species